GUGGAGGCUUGUCUGCUGUGGCAGGGACCCCACGCUGGAGCAGAGGAAGAGUGUGAGGAGUCCUCCCCCUGAGGAGGAAGGAGCAGCAGAAACAAGGGGUGAUGAACUGGCCACAACCCCCAGUCCCUGUCCCGCUGCAACAGUGUCAGGAGGAG